rnacentral:rRNA from 1 species
CCUACGGGUGGCAGCAGUGAGGAAUAUUGGUCAAUGGGCGGGAGCCUGAACCAGCCAAGUCGCGUGAAGGAAGAAGGUACGGAGGAGUGUAAACUGCUUUUGUCGGGGAAUAAAGCCCGAUACGCGUCUCCCUUUGCGUGUACCCUAUGAAAAAGCAUCGGCUAACUCCGUGCCAGCAGCCGCGGUAAUACGGGGGUUGCGAGCGUUAUCCGGAUUUAUUGGGUUUAAGGGGUGCGUAUGCGGGAUGUCACGUGGGCGGUAAAAUGUCGGGGCUCACCCCCGGCCGGCCGUUGAAACUGGUUUGCGAGAUUUGGCGAGAGGCAUGCGGAAUUCGUGGUGUAGCGGUGAAAUGCAUAGAUAUCACGAAGAACUCCGAUUGCGAAGGCAGCAUACCGGAUCCGAACUGACGCUGAGGCACGAAAGCGUGGGGAUCGAACAGGAUUAGAUACCCGUGUAGUC